UACGGAGGGUGCAAGCGUUAUCCGGAUUUACUGGGCUUAAAGGGCGCGUAGGCGGAUUUGUAAGUCAGGGGUGAAAUCUCCGGGCUUAACCCGGAAACUGCCAUUGAUACUAUAAGUCUUGAAUUAUCUGGAGGUAAGCGGAAUAUGUCAUGUAGCGGUGAAAUGCUUAGAUAUGACAUAGAACACCAAUGGCGAAGGCAGCUUACUGGGGAUAUAUUGACACUGAGGCACGAAAGCGUGGGGAGCAAACAGG
rnacentral:rRNA from 1 species